AACGUAGGUACCGAGCGUUAUCCGGAUUUACUGGGCGUAAAGCGCGUUCAGGCGGUCUGGCAAGUCGGGCAUGAAAUCUCUCGGCUCAACCGGGAGGGGUUGUCCGAUACUGCUGGGCUUGAGGGCAGUAGAGGGUGGUGGAAUUCCGGGUGUAGUGGUGAAAUGCGUAGAGAUCCGGAGGAACACCAGUGGCGAAGGCGACACGCUGGGCCUGGCCUGACGCUCAGACGCGAAAGCAUGGGGAGCGAAC
rnacentral:rRNA from 1 species